UGGGGAAUAUUGGACAAUGGGGGGAACCCUGAUCCAGCCAUGCCGCGUGUGUGAAGAAGGCCUUUUGGUUGUAAAGCACUUUAAGCGAGGAGGAGGCGCUCUUAGUUAAUACCUAAGAUGCGUGGACGUUACUCGCAGAAUAAGCACCGGCUAACUCUGUGCCAGCAGCCGCGGUAAUACAGAGGGUGCGAGCGUUAAUCGGAUUUACUGGGCGUAAAGCGCGCGUAGGUGGCUAAUUAAGUCAAAUGUGAAAUCCCCGAGCUUAACUUGGGAAUUGCAUUCGAUACUGGUUAGCUAGAGUAUGGGAGAGGAUAGUAGAAUUCCAGGUGUAGCGGUGAAAUGCGUAGAGAUCUGGAGGAAUACCGAUGGCGAAGGCAGCCAUCUGGCCUAAUACUGACACUGAGGUGCGAAAGCAUGGGGAGCAAAACAGGAUUAGAUACCCUGGUAGUCCAUGCCGUAAACGAUGUCUACUAGCCGUUGGGGCCUUUGAGGCUUUAGUGGCGCAGCUAACGCGAUAAGUAGACCGCCUGGGGAGUACGGUCGCAAGGCUAAAAACUCAAAGGAAAUUUGGACGGGGGUCAUAGCUG
rnacentral:rRNA from 1 species